rnacentral:ncRNA from 1 species
GGCCGGAUAAGUCGUUCACGCCGCAUCCGGCAAUCAACGCCUGAUGCGACGCUUGCGCGUCUUAUCAGGCC